AUGGAGACUCUCCUGCAAGUACUCAUAGGGAUAUUAGAGUUGCAGGUCGCCUGGGUCAGUAGUCAAGGACUAGAGCAGAGUCCACAGUCUCUGAUCGUCCAAGAGGGAGAAGAUUUCACCAUAAACUGCAGCUCAUCAAAGCCUGUGUAUGCCCUACACUGGUACAGACAAAAGAAGAGCAAAGGUCUAAUCUCCUUGAUGAUAUUGUGGAAAAAUGGGGAAGAAAAGAAUCACGAAGAAAUCACUGCCACAUUGGAUGAUAAAAAACAGCAGAGUUCUCUGCAUAUCAGAGCCGCCCAGCCCAGCCACUCAGGCACCUACCUGUGUGCAGCAGAUGCACUGUGAUCUCCAGGCCUCUGCAGGGUGUCCCCAAACCUGCCGCCAGGCCGCAGGUGCUCUGCCAACACAGGGCUCCUGAGCAGUGCUGGGGCAUUUGCCAAGAUGAGAGGCUUGAAGAAGAGGCAGUAGUCUCAUCGCAAAAAAAAAAAAAAGAA